rnacentral:tRNA from 1 species
AUUUAUAUAGUUUAACAUAAAAACAUUACAUUUUCAUUGUAAAAAUAGUUAAAUAUAACUUAUAAUUU